rnacentral:ncRNA from 1 species
UGUGAUAUAUUACAUCUCUUUUGAUUUUUUUUCUGUGAAAUAAAUAUAAUAAAUAUGUGUGGGAAGUAUAAAUGAAGUGUAUAUGUAUGACUUUUUAUUAUUUAGUUAUUGAGCAAUUAUUUAUUAUACUCAGCGUAGAGAAAUUGAUUGUCUAAGUUUUCGUGCCAGCAGACGCGGUUAUACGGAGAAUCGUUAUUUCUUUUUUGAGUAUGUAUUUUUUUUUGAGUAUUCUUUUGUAUUUUAGUAAAAUAGUUUUUAUGUUGGGAAUAUAAUAUAGUAUAAAGUUUAUUUGAGAAGCUUGUGUAAAUUUUUGUUUAAAAGCGGAUUAGAGACCCGUGUAUAGGAAAUAGGAUUUUUUUUAAAUAGAAUAUUUAACUUAAGUAAUUAGACGGUCUCUUUUUUAACAGGGAAGCUUGCUCUUUAAACCGAUAGUCCUCGUUAUUUUAGCCAUGUAUGAGUUUCGAAGUUGUGUAUGUCCGUUUAGGAGUUCUAUAAUAGAAAUUCUUCGUAGUUUUUGUAUACUUUAAUUCAGGUCCACAUGCACUUUAUUAUAUGGGAGAAAGAUGAGCUUUAAGUAUAAUAAUAUAAAGGAUGGAUGAAUUUCUUGAAAGAAAACUUGUUAGUAAUAAAUAAAUAUUUAUAUUUUUGUGAAAUUUUAGUAAAGGGGAGUACUCACCGCCCGCUGGUUAGAAUAUAAUGUUCUUUAAAAGCGUAACAAGGUAGUUUAUCUAGAAAGAUGAACUAGAUA